ACUCCUACGGGAGGCAGCAGUGGGGAAUAUUGCACAAUGGGCGCAAGCCUGAUGCAGCCAUGCCGCGUGUGUGAAGAAGGCCUUCGGGUUGUAAAGCACUUUCAGUCGUGAGGAAGGUAGUGUAGUUUAAUAGGCCUGCUAUAUUUUGAACGUUAGCGACAGAAGAAGCACCGGCUAACUCCGUGCCAGCAGCCGUGGUAAUACGGAGGGUGCGAGCGUUAAUCGGAAUUACUGGGCGUAAAGCGCAUGCAGGUGGUUUGUUAAGUCAGAUGUGAAAGCCCGGGCUCAAGCCUCAGG
rnacentral:rRNA from 1 species